AGCAGCCGCGGUAAUUCCAGCUCCAAUGGCGUAUAUUAAAGUUGUUGCAGUUAAAAAGCUCGUAGUUGAAUUUCGGGAUCAGUUGAUCGGUCGUGCCUCGGUACGUACUGGUCAAAUUGAUUCCUACCUUCUGACGAACCACGAUGUCAUUAAUUUGGUGUCGUGGGAAAUCAGGACUGUUACUUUGAAAAAUUAGAGUGUUUAAAGCAGGCUCGCGCUUGAAUACAUUAGCAUGGAAUAAUGAAAUAGGACGUUUGAUUCUAUUUUGUUGGUUUCUAGGAUCGACGUAAUGAUUAAUAGGGAUAGUUGGGGGCAUUAGUAUUCAAUUGUCAGAGGUGAAAUUCUUGGAUUUAUUGAAGACUAACUACUGCGAAAGCAUUUGCCAAGGAUGUUUUCAUUAAUCAAGAACGAAAGUUAGGGGAUCGAAGACGAUCAGAUACCGUCGUAGUCUUAACCAUAAACUAUGCCGACUAGGGAUCGGAUGAUGUUAAUUUUUUAAUGUACUCAUUCGGCGCCUUAA
rnacentral:misc_RNA from 1 species